AUGGCCCAAAUAGAAAUCCCCAAAUUAAAAAAACUUAGCUGCCCUCCCUCCUUCCUCGGCGCAAACUGCCGCUCCACCGGCCGUCGGAGCGUCGUCUGCUCCAGUCCCCGUCGUCGCCGGCGUCUCGUCUUGGCGGAAGUUCCUCCGUCGCCAUCUGUUGCAAAGGGCAGAGGAAGCUCCAAAUCGGAGACGGACGCAGCGGCGCUCCCUUCGUCGCCGCCCGUCGGCUCCCUUUCCGGUCGGCGCCGCCUCAGCGCUGUGGGGGAAAGUUCUUCUUCCUUCCUUCAAUUCCAAUUCCCCAAAUUGGAAAUCUUUGAUGAAGAAGGCCCAACGGCAUCUACGCCGCUGCCUCGCUUAUGUUGCGCCGUCGGAGAAGGAGUGGAGGCAUCGUCUCUCUCCCUCCGUGCGCACAGCUUUGCUUCGCGUUCGUGGUCCUCGACAGAAUGGCGCCGCCUCCCAUCCUCCGAACAGCGGAGAACCAUAGCUACCGACGACUCCAGCGGGAGCUGCAUUGAACUCAGCCGUGUUCUCCCACCGAUGCCCUCACCUUCACUGUUUCCGACUAGAAGCUAAGCUGCCCCUAACCCAACUUAACUUUCAUUCUACUGAUGGAAUAAACGUUAGCACUAUUUGAAGAAAACCUGUAUGUACACAUGAUGGGUUUCUAUGUUUUGAGGGUUGAGCACUCCUAAGCUGCUGAGUUUAAGUGGAAAGGCAACAACAUUUUGUUCCUCUGGUUUCAUUAUGUGAUAUAGCUCCAAACUUCCUUAUGCUUGGUUUUUUUUCUACUGAUUUACUUGAGGUUUAGCAUGCUAUUUGAGGUUCCUAAGUUGUGGUGCUUCUAUAUGAUGUUAAGUUGUAGUGUGGUUUACCUGAUAACUGCGGCCGCUUUGCAAAAGCUCCUAGACCUCACCUCUUUUACUCCUUAACUUGUUAUGUUGCUGGAAAAGUUCUUGAAGUGUGUGGGGGUAUUCAUAGGUGGUGUGGAGAUGGUUUUUAUAGCCAAACUCGUGUACUUGUGCAGCAUUAACUUGAGCUAUUGUAUGCCUUGUUUUCUUUCUGCAGCAACUUCAACUGCAACUUGGCUCCACGUGUACUUUAGUUAAUAAAUGGAACUUGUAUGCAGGGUUGUUAACUGAAAUCUGUAGAGCUGCUGCAGUUGUUCCCUUUCUUCUUAACUUGGAGCAGCCUUCGGUUAUGGCUGGGAGUGCAGUGGCUGUUGAAGCUGUGCUGCAUCUUUCCUCUCUUUUUCUGGCUCGUGGCAACCUGUGGUGAUGGCUGAGGAGUGCAGGCUGCUGCAUUGCCCCUUUUGUCCAGUUCUUGACUUCUCAACUAAAGUUUCUCAUAUUCAAGGAGAACAUGAAGUUUGGCUGGUUGUGGCCGAUGGUAGCCCUCGGCAAACAGGCUGCAUUCGCGGUCUAGGAAAGAGGUGGCUUGGACUCGUGAACAAUAGAUUCAAGGCGUUUAGCCCCUUGUUAUACCUAUGUAUAUUUUUUUUCUUUUUCUUUUUCUUUUUCUUUUUUUUUGUAACUAAUUCAUAGCUUGGAAUAUAUCAAUGUUGUAUUUUAUUUACUUAAAGGAAUAAACGGACACAUUUUCAUUUUUA